AAAAUGGGCAGCUAUUGUUGCAGUCUCAGCAAGUGAAUAAUCAAUGGGAAGGGAUAACUUAGGUCUACAAAUAGAUAUAAUUUACCAUAUUUUGUCAUCAAUGCUAAAAUAUAGCUACAGGCAGUAAUAGUAGGCUCCCUUUUUGGUGACCGAUGGAUACUUGCCAUUAUACUAUUUAAUUUAUAUUAUGUCCAUUAACAUGACAUGACAAGUCCCUAUAUGAUAUUUUAGGAAACUGAGUAACAACAACAAAAAAAUAAGUAAUUUGCUCAAGGUCAGAGCUAAGAAGCCAAGGAGCCAGGUUUCAAAUGCCGAUUGCCAGAUCCUUGCUCUGGGGCACACUUUGGACACGCAAAUAAAGGCUUAACUGUUUCUGGCACAGAAACAGAGUGUCUCAUAGAAGUGGCAUCUGAGCUGGGUCUUGAGGGGUACGUAUGUUAAUGAUGGAGUGAGGAAAGGGAAUCAAGUCAUCAAAGACACGGAGAUGGAAAAGUACAGAGAUUGUUUAAGGACCUGAAAAGAAGUCUGACUUGGUAGCAGCAGAGUGAGAGUAGAGGGAGAUGAAACGGAGAGGCUGAAGCCAGCUGGGAGUCAGGUGGCCGCGCAAUGAUGUCAAGUCAUGGGUUUCUAGAAUUGUGGGAAGGCCCAGGGCAAAUCACAGGGCAAAUCACAGCUCUGUCGACUGGUUUCCUCUGUAAAAUAGAAAUAGAGUAAGAUCAUAAACUCACGUUCCAACUCUGGAUUUAUGCUUUCCUGUCCAGGAACAUUUAGUCUCCCCUUCCCACUUCCCACCUCGGUCCAUGAGGGAAGCAAAAUGUGUCCAUUCUUCUGCCCACGCCCAGUCCUGCACUAACUCCUCCCCAAAGCAGAGUAAGUGGUUUCCUGGUCGGUGAGAACAUGAGAGUGUCACUGCACUGGGUUUUACCCAUGGUCGGAAUUGCUGAAAUUCCUGAGUGGUUAAGGACAAACCCACCCGAGUCACUCUACUGCUGUUUCCUGUGUCCACAUGGUAAACUCUCAGCUUCUGGCCAAAGACCUUGGUGGACCCUGCUGACUUGCUGUGACAAAGAGAGAAGAGAGAAGGAGAGAAGAGCUGUGGCCCUUCAGGGAGUCCAGACCUAAGAGCUCCCCACACCAGGGCCGUGACACCCCUUUUGGGGCUCUGCAGUUCCUGGUGUCUCCAAGCUUCUGGGUGCCACCAUGUUCCCCAGUGCCAGCUGUGGAAGCUGCUUGUGGUACACCUGGUCCAGCCACAGCCUCAGAGGGAGCCAGUGCCCAUGUUAGCAACUGGAGCUGCCUGCCCUGCUGCAGCUGGUGUGCCUGGCUAUGUGCAGUGGCCAGACCCCAUGCUUGCUCACACACCCCUUGCCACUCCACACCUGGCUCACCCUUGGCAGGCCUGGGGGAUCCAGGCUGGUACCAUGAGCUGAGUGCAGCCUGUCAGGCCAAGCGGUGGAAUGAGCCCAGAUGGCCCCAAGCAAAACUCAGGCAAAGGCACCACUGGCCACAGAGGUUUCCAGCUGGCAAAGUGACACCCCAAGGAUCCUGUAACAGUGGGACAGGAUGAGCCCAACUUCACUGCAACUUACUCUCUUCUUUAUUUUUGAGAGUUUAUGUCCUAUCCCAGUUAUUUCCCAUGCAUUUGCUUCCACUUCUCUAAGCAAAACACUAAAAGAUCUGGUUUAAGAUAUCUGUCUAUCAGUAUUCUUUGGGUUGAUUGGUUAGCCAAUUAUUCAAUGAACUGGCUUUUAGCAAAUGGGUGAUCCAGUGAGAUGGCCAUUAGUUAAAUGAUGACUUAGGGAAUCGAAUACAGUCAGUUUCACUUCUUUCUCAUUUUCAAAGUGAUGUAUGGGCCAUCACCAAGAAUAAUACAGAUCACCCAUGACUUGUUCAUACAAGCACAUUGAUUUCCCCAUACCCUGUUUCCUAAGUGUCAAUCUCACACCAACUUCAUGGUUUUUGCAAUAUCCUCAUAGAACCUAUACUAUUAUGUAUUUAAUAUUUUUCUUGAAUCUGACACACCCGUAAUUUUUCAUUCAUUAUUUUAAAGGGAACUUUCAUACUGUUGUACUGAAAACUGCCAGACUAUGCCAAUCCAAAGUAUGCCAGUGUGACAUGAGGAUUAUUUUGAGCUGAAGGCACUUGAAAAAAUAGUAGGUAUGACAAGGACCCUCUGAUCUUCCCUCUUUCCUCCUAAAGGAAGAAAAUAAAUCCCCAUAUGGAAGAUGUCCUUCAUAUACCGCAAAGAAAAUAACAUUCUUAUCACUAGAAACGGGGAGUCAGAAUUGAGACCAAUCUGUAGAAACCUUGUUAAACUAAUCCUUAUCUUCCUAGUUACUUUUCCACCAUAACUGACUCAGCCCAAGCCCCCUCCAUUUGUCACACUUUCAUAAUUUACUCCUCUUUGUCCAAUUCUAUAUAUGUGCUCUACCCCAACUGCCUGUUUGGGUCUUAUGAAGGCUUCUGUGUCAUGUAAAACUUAUUUUAAAUAAAUGUGUAUGCAUUUCUCCAGUUAAUCUGUCUUUGGUCAAUUUAAUCCUCAAGCCCAGCCAAAAACCCUGAAGGCAGAAGUACAAUUUUGCCUCUCCUUCAGUACUGAGCAAAUUAUCUGUGCAUUCAUAAGUUUGACAUUCCCGUUAUGUAUUUUUAAGUGCACAUAAAACAUAUUAACUAUAUGGAUAGAAAGUGUUCAUCUUUGAACUACUUAAACUCAACUCCCAUGUGAAUAUACACUGGGUAAACAGCUGGAAUAAAGAAAUAAAGAAUAUGAUCACCUAACACCUUGCAUAGCAGCUGUCUGCCCCACAGU
rnacentral:lncRNA from 1 species